rnacentral:rRNA from 1 species
GGUUUGAUUCUGGCUCAGAUUGAACGCUGUGGAUAGCACACAUGCAAGUCGAACAUUAGCUACGGACUUCAGUCUGGUGGCAUUAACAGUGGUGAGUAAUGUAUCGGAACGUGCCUAGUAGCGGCGGGGGGAUAACUACACAGCGUAUUCAUCACGCCAUAUCGGGGAAAGCAGGGGACCUUCGGGCCUCGCACUAAUAGGCCAGCCGAUAUCGGAUUAGCUAGUUGGUGGGGUAACGGCUCACCAAAGGCGACGAUCCGUAGCUGGUUUGAGAGGACGACCAGCCACACUGGGGACUGAGACACGGCCCAGACUCCUACAGGAGGCAGCAGUGAGGGGAAUUUUGGACAAUGGGGAAACCCUGAUCCAGCCGUCCCGCGUGUGCGAUGAAGGCCUUCGGGUUGUAAAGCACUUUGGCAGGAAGAAACGGCCUGGAUAAUACCCCGUGCAGCUGACGAUACCCUGCAGAAUAAGCACCAUGCUGCGUGCCAGCGGCCGCGGCGAUAAUACAUGCAGGUGCGGCGUUAAUCGGAAUUACUGGGCGUAAAGCGUGCGCAGGCGGUUCCGGAAAGAAAGAUGUGAAAUCCCAGAGCUUAACUUUGGAACUGCAUUUUUAACUACCGAGCUAGAGUGUGUCAGAGGGAGGUGGAAUUCCGCGUGUAGCAGUGAAAUGCGUAGAUAUGCGGAGGAACACCGAUGGCAGAAGGCAGCCUCCUGGGAUAACACCGACGCUCGCUUGCACGAAAGCGUGGGAGCAAACAGGAUUAGAUACCUGGUAGUCCACGCCCUAGCUUGAUGUCAACUAGCUGUUGGGGCCUUCGGGCCUUGGUAGCGCAACUAACGCGUGAAGUUGACCGCCUGGGAAAUACGGUCGCAAGAUUAAAACUCAAAGGAAUUGACGGGGACCCGCACAAGCGGUGGAUGGUGUGGAUUAAUUCGAUGCAACGCGAAAAGCCUUACCUACCUUGACAUAUCUGGAAUCGAAGAGAUUUGGGAGUGCUCGCCACGAACCGGAACACAGGUGCUGCAUGGCUGUCGUCAGCUCGUGUCGUGAGAUGUUGGGUUAAGUCCCGCAACGAGCGCAACCCUUGUCAUUAGUUGCUACGAAAGAGGCACUCUAAUGAGACUGCCGGUGACAAACCGGAAGGUGGGGAUGACGUCAAGUCCUCAUGGCCCUUAUGGGUAGGGCUUCACACGUCAUACAAUGGUCGGGACAGAGGGUCGCCAACCCGCGAGAAGGCCAAUCCCAGAAACGAUCUGGUAGUCCGGAUCACAGUCUGCAACUCGACUGCGUGAAGUCGGAAUCGCUAGUAAUCGCGGAUCAGCAUGUCGCGGUGAAUACGUUCCCGGGUCUUGUACACACCGCCCGUCACCAUGGGAGUGGGUUUUACCAGAAGUAGUUAGCCUAACCGUAAGGAGGGCGAUUACCACGAUAGGAUUCAUGACUGGGGUGAAGUCGUAACAAGGUAGCUCUGUUAC